rnacentral:rRNA from 1 species
GUCUACGGCCAUACCACCCUGAACGCGCCCGAUCUCAUCUGAUCUCGGAAGAAAAAAGAGCCUGAACCUGCUCCAUGUGGUGACUGAGCCC